rnacentral:rRNA from 1 species
GAUGAACGCUGGCGGCGUGCCUAAUACAUGCAAGUCGAGCGAACGGACGAGAAGCUUGCUUCUCUGAUGUUAGCGGCGGACGGGUGAGUAACACGUGGAUAACCUACCUAUAAGACUGGGAUAACUUCGGGAAACCGGAGCUAAUACCGGAUAAUAUUUUGAACCGCAUGGUUCAAAAGUGAAAGACGGUCUUGCUGUCACUUAUAGAUGGAUCCGCGCUGCAUUAGCUAGUUGGUAAGGUAACGGCUUACCAAGGCAACGAUGCAUAGCCGACCUGAGAGGGUGAUGGGCCACACUGGAACUGAGACACGGUCCAGACUCCUACGGGAGGCAGCAGUAGGGAAUCUUCCGCAAUGGGCGAAAGCCUGACGGAGCAACGCCGCGUGAGUGAUGAAGGUCUUCGGAUCGUAAAACUCUGUUAUUAGGGGAGAACAUAUGUGUAAGUAACUGUGCACAUCUUGACGGUACCUAAUCAGAAAGCCACGGCUAACUACGUG